AGUUUUCGAUUAGCUUGUUUAUCUGGAGAUACAACAGCAUAGCAUGUUAGUAUAUAAAAAUUGUGAGAAUUGAAUCCUGUAAAAGAAAGGUAUGACAAUAAUUUAGCAAUAUUGGACGGUCAAUGAAAACCAAUUAAGAUAUUCAGAAUAAAGAUCUGCAAUCAAGCAAUAAAUCCAUUAUUUGGAAAUCAAUCAAGUAUAAACAUCAAACACUUGACCACUUAAUUUUACAAGCGAAGGCCAACAUGUUUUCAAACUGAACAAAGAAGCAUGUAGCAAUUUAUAGAUAAACCACAAGAGAUCUGCAUGUUUGAUCCUAUACACAAACUUUAGUUAUGUCAAUGCAAAUCCCAUAUUUGGAGUCAGUCCUAGUGAAAAAUGAAAAAAUCGUUUAGCUGUGAUCAUACUCUGAAAGCAAAACAUGAAAGUGAAAAGAUAGUAGAUCUGGAUUUUCCAGUGUUUUAGGAUUGUUUUGGGGGAUCAGAUAAGCGUAGAUUCUGAGAUUUAAUAUAAAAGAGAUGAAUCUAAGCAACAGAUAAGAGAAGAGAAGAGAAGAGAAGAAUAGAAG
rnacentral:misc_RNA from 1 species